UUUUGGAAAUGUGAUCUGGUUAAACGAAGUAUCAAAUGUACAAUAAAUUAAAAGAAAGUAAACAUCAGUUUGGUGAAAUGGGAACAGAUGAAUUUCUGCAAUGUAUCAAAAUUUACUCAUUAAUGCAAGUUAUGUGUAAUCGUAGUAUUCACCAUCCACUAACCUGUAGAAACCGAUUUGGUGUUAGAAGAUGGAGGAUGAUCUGCCUUUUCUGAGACUGUUUCACGUGGGAUUUCCUUUGAAGGAGUGGCUUCUGCUUGCUCGUUCUGACUUGGCGUGUUUUGACGAAGAGUAUGGAGCUCACGUUCAACUUUAAGAAUGACUUUGUGGAGUUCGUCAAAAUCCUUUUCGGUACUAUCAAUUUCCUCAGUCGAAGAUUGGAGUUCAUUCUUUUUCUUCUGUAAAACAAACUGCUUUUCCAUGAUUUCGUUAAUACGAACGAUUUCAUGUUGUAAACCAAGAAUCGCUUCAGCAACUUCAUCUCGUCUAUUCUUUUCCUUUCUACGAGCCCUCCAUGUUUCAAAUAAAAUGGCUCCUCCAGCAACAGUACUGUAAAUUGUUAGCAAGAGAAGAACAUUGUGACAAGUUGGAUUUCGUAGCUCCUUCACAAUGUGCCGUAUUAAGCAUUGUGGAGAGGAAGUACGUCAAAUCGUAUUAAUUUUCAUACAAUAUAAAAGUUUCUGAUAAAAAUGUUGCACCAGCAUCGACUGCUUUGGCAUCGUUUAAAGGUCGUAAUCGUACAUUAGCUCCUCCACUUUUAGCUCUGUUAAUUCCUGUUAUUCUAAAUUCCGCGCGAUGCAUCCAUUGAGCAAAUUCAAUACAUGCCUAUAUAGAAAUUUCGUUAGUAAUGCUAUAAGAUUCUCUUUAUCAUCUAUUUUACUGAUUUAUACCUUUCGGAAAGCCUUGUGCUCUUUAGCUUGGGCUUUGAUUGUAUUGGCAAUCGGUUUGGAUAAUGUUCUUACUAACAAGCUUCCGAUUUUUAAGGCUAGAGAAGACAUUGGAUUGUAGAGAAAUGUUAAUGGAUACCAGAACUUCAAAAAUAUUCGAGGGGGAAUAAACCCGCAAAGGAUUUCAAAUUACCGACUAAAAGUACUACCACCUCAAUUAAAUAGAGGUAUAAAAGAAAGAAAUCUCCGAUAAAAUUAGAAUGCAGAUAUAAGCGUGUAACAAUAGCUAGGAUAUUUAUGCAAGGUCGAAGAUAUACUCUUCCGUUAAUCAAUAGCAAUAUUUAAAACCGCAACACCAAGUGCGUG